rnacentral:rRNA from 1 species
AUACGUAGGGGGCGAGCGUUGUCCGGAAUGAUUGGGCGUAAAGGGCGCGUAGGCGGCCUGUUAAGUCUGGAGUGAAAGUCCUGUUUUCAAGAUGGGAAUUGCUUUGGAUACUGAUGGGCUUGAGUGCAGGAGAGGUUAUCGGAAUUCCCGGUGUAGCGGUGAAAUGCGUAGAGAUCGGGAGGAACACCAGUGGCGAAGGCGCGUAACUGGACUGCAACUGACGCUGAGGCGCGAAAGUGUGGGGAGCAAACAGGAUUAUAUACCCUGGUAGUCCACACUGUAAACGAUGAAUGCUAGGUGUAAGAGGUAUCGACCCCUUUUGUGCCGGAGUCAACACAAUAAGCAUUCCGCCUGGGGAGUACGGCCGCAAGGUUGAAACUCAAAGGAAUUGACGGGG